AGAAAAACAUAAGACCAAUCCAAAUCAAGGGGCAUUUUACAAAAUACUCAGCCAGUACUCCUCAAGACUUUCAAGUUUAUCAAAAACACAGAAGUCUGAGAAACUGUCACAGCCCAGAAGAGCCUAAGGAAAUGACUAAAUAUAAUAUGGUAUUUUAAAUGGGAUACUAAAACACAAAAAUGAAAUUAGUGAAAAACCACUAAAAUCCCAAUAAAGUCUGAGCUUAAUAGUAAUGUGGUAGUUUGGUUAAUUAGUUAUGUAUGAUACAUGCUCCAUGGCAAUGUAAGAUGUUAAUAAUAGGGCAACUAGGUGCACGGAGAUAGAGGAAUUUGUAUUAUCUCUGCAACUUUUCUGUUAAUCUGCAAUUAUUCUGAAGUUGAAAAGGUUAUUUAAAUAUUUUUUGAAGAAUCUAACAUUCAGUUGUGGCCUUUUCAGUCACAGGAAACCUGUCGCUACGCAGUGAUGACCACCCAGCUGAGGCAUAACAACCUCUCACUGGUUUUCCACUAUGUUUUCCUCCAGAUGUGUAAGGCACACGGCAUUGGUUAUGACCUUGAGAACAAUCGGUGUGGAUCUCCAGGGGGUCCUCAUGACCUUUGCUCACAAUCUCUUCAUCAUCCAUCAAGAAAUAUCAGCACCUAAUAUGCAAGGCGAGACCAAUUUUAAGGUGAGGUGUUAAUUAACUAACGAUCCUGCUUAAUUUCUAUACAAGGGCUGAAAAUACCUCAUGCUGUAUUGUAAACAAGUGCUAAACCAUCUUUUUUUUUUUUUAAUUGUAAGCAGUACAUAUUUUACGUUGUGCAGGGUCAAUAUUGUAAGGUUCCCAUUGAACCCAUUAGUUAAAUUUAAUAGUUUGAAACUUUUUCUUUGAAACACAGCAGACUUGCUUUAACUUGCUGCCACCUC
rnacentral:lncRNA from 1 species